rnacentral:rRNA from 1 species
UACGAAGGGGGCAAGCGUUGUUCGGAAUUACUGGGCGUAAAGAGCGCGUAGGUGGUUUGUCAAGUGAGUUGUGAAAUAUCUGGGCUCAACCUGGGGAUGUCAACUCAAACAGGCGAACUAGAGUACAGUAGAGGGUCGUGGAAUUCCCGGUGUAGCGGUGAAAUGCGUAGAGAUCGGAAGGAACAUCAGUGGCGAAGGCGGCGACCUGGACUGAAACUGACACUGAGGCGCGAAAGCGUGGGGAGCAAACAGG